UACGAAGGGGGCUAGCGUUGUUCGGAUUUACUGGGCGUAAAGCGCACGUAGGCGGAUUGUUAAGUCGGGGGGUGAAAUCCUGGAGCUCAACUUCAGAAUUGCCUUCGAUACUGGCUUUCUAGAGGCUAGAAGAGGUUAGUGGAAUUCCCAGUGUAGAGGUGAAAUUCGUAGAUAUUGGGAAGAACACCAGUGGCGAAGGCGGCUAACUGGUCCAGAUCUGACGCUGAGGUGCGAAAGCGUGGGGGAGCAAACAGG
rnacentral:rRNA from 1 species